rnacentral:rRNA from 1 species
AGCGAACGCUGGCGGUAGGCUUAACACAUGCAAGUCGAACGGCAGCACAGUAAGAGCUUGCUCUUACGGGUGGCGAGUGGCGGACGUGUGAGGUAUACAUCGGAAUCUACUUUUUCGUGGGGGAUAACGUAGGGAAACUUACGCCAAUACCGCAUAUGACGCUCGGGUGAAAGCAGGGGAACUUCGGACCUUGUGCGAUUGAAUUAGCCGAUGUCGGAUUAGCUAGUUGGUGGGGUAAAGGCCUACCAAGGCGACGAUCCGUAGCUGGUCUGAGAGGAUGAUCAGCCGCACUGGAACUGGGACACCGUCCAGACUCCUACGAGAGGCAGCAGUGGGGUAUAGUAGACAGUGGGCGCAAACCUGAUCCAGCCAUACCACGUGGGUGAAGGAGACCUUGGGGUUGUAAAGCCCGUUUGUUGGGAGAAAAAAGCAGCAGGUUAAUACGCCGCUGUUCUGACGGUACCCAAUGAAUAAGCACCGGCUAACUACGUG